CAGCCGCCACGGUAAUACGUAGGGCGCAAGCGUUAUCCGGAAUUAUUGGGCGUAAAGAGCUCGUAGGCGGCUUGUCGCGUCUGCCGUGAAAGUCCGGGGCUCAACCCCGGAUCUGCGGUGGGUACGGGCAGACUAGAGUGAUGUAGGGGAGACUGGAAUUCCUGGUGUAGCGGUGAAAUGCGCAGAUAUCAGGAGGAACACCGAUGGCGAAGGCAGGUCUCUGGGCAUUGACUGACGCUGAGGAGCGAAAGCAUGGGGAGCGAACAGGAUUAGAGACCCGCGUAGUCCCUGUCUCUUAUAC
rnacentral:rRNA from 1 species